CACGUAGUUAGCCGUCCCUUUCUGGUAAGAUACCGCCACAGUGUGAACUUUCCACUCUCACACUCGUUCUUCUCUUACAACAGAGCUUUACGAUCCGAAAACCUUCUUCACUCACGCGGCGUUGCUCGGUCAGACUUCCGUCCAUUGCCGAAGAUUCCCUACUGCUGCCUCCCGUAGGAGUCUGGGCCGUGUCUCAGUCCCAGUGUGGCCGAUCACCCUCUCAGGUCGGCUAUGUAUCGUCGCCUUGGUGAGCCGUUACCUCACCAACUAGCUAAUACAACGCAGGUCCAUCUGGUAGUGGAGCAAUUGCCCCUUUCAAGCAGAUAUCAUGCAAUAUCUACUGUUAUGCGGUAUUAGCUAUCGUUUCCAAUAGUUAUCCCCCGCUACCAGGCAGGUUACCUACGCGUUACUCACCCGUUCGCAACUCAUCCGGAAAGAGCAAGCUCCUUCCUUCAGCGUUCUACUUGCAUGUAUUAGGCACGCCGCCAGCGUUCA
rnacentral:rRNA from 1 species